rnacentral:rRNA from 1 species
UACGGAGGAUCCAAGCGUUAUCCGGAAUCAUUGGGUUUAAAGGGUCCGUAGGCGGGCUUAUAAGUCAGUGGUGAAAUCUCCCAGCUCAACUGGGAAACUGCUAUUGAUACUGUAGGUCUUGAAUUAUUGUGAAGUAACUAGAAUAUGUAGUGUAGCGGUGAAAUGCUUAGAUAUUACAUGGAAUACCAAUUGCGAAGGCAGGUUACUAACAAUAUAUUGACGCUGAUGGACGAAAGCGUGGGUAGCGAACAGG